CAUGCGCAGCGGGCGCCGCGGAGGGAAAGGCCUGUGAGAGGGGAAUGGCUGGAAGUGCGCCGGGGCCGCCGCACCGCCCGCCCUUGGGGACCGUCGGUGUGGCGGGAGGUCUGUCCUCACCGCCUCAGUGCUGCCCCCGUCCCGUCUGGCCUGGCGGCGUUAUCCCGGUGGCUCAGCCUGCUCUGGCCCGGCCCUGGGCCGGGGUUGGUUGGUAAGCCCCACUCUCUGCCAUUAGGCUCCUCGCUUGCCAAAAACGAGGGGGAAAGCGGCACCGCGUGCUGACAGGCCAGUGGUGACGAAGUGACUUACGUGGUGGCCUGCAGUGUGCCAGUGACACCUCAUGACUGGCAGUCACAGCUAAAUGCAAAGUGAAAAAUCUCCCCAAGUCAUACACUUCCUGGUCAUGGUGGUGUUACAGCAGCAUGUGCUCGCAGCAGCAUUUCCUAAGUGUUUGUGGGCCACUUCUUGCAAAUAUGUUUGGAAAUCCUUCUAAAGAUAGGUUUGGUGCUGUACUGGAAGUGAUCUCCACUCUUAACACCACCUUUGGAAACAGCUCUAAGGAUAUAGAGAUAUAUUUGGGGGUUACUGGGGAUUUACAGCUGAUCAGCUUUGCUUUAGGUGCACAGACAGCAGUCAGUCUCCUUAACACAGGUGCAGCAUUGUGCCAAUGUAUGUUGCUUGAGCGUAAAAGGAGGAUGAGUGCUUGUCAGUGUCUCGGAGACUAAAGAGGCUUUUUGGAUGUGUCCUGGUCCUGUGCAGUGUCCACUUCUCUCUCCAGAGCAAUGAGUUCACUCAGUCACUGUUCACAGCCUUUUUGAGUCCAGUGAGGUUUGCUUUCCUAAGUUUGGUAGUAACCCUGCAGAUGCCAGCUAGCGUUUUUAAAAGCUGUGUACUGCACCAUGUUUCACAACUCAUUCUAUAGCAUAACCAUGUAUUUGUGAUUUUUUUUUCCAUUCUCUGGGAUAUUUCUGUCCUUACUACACUGGGUAAUGGAUUUGUACCUCAUCUAGCCUUACGUUGUGGCUUCAUUGCCUCAGGAUAUUUCCGUGUCUGAGCCUAUACCUACAUUGGCAAGUAAGAGAAGUUCUGAGCGAAAGAAGGGGAGCUGAGGAUCUGACAUCCACACCACUGACAUGCCAGUCCAGACCAGCUUUAGUCUAGUCCUAUGGAUGCAGUGACUGCUAGGGUUGGACCGCAUUGGGUAUGUUCUGGGGAUGUAUCUGUUGGCUUGGUUUCCUUCAGAAGGAAUCCAUUAUGCACACUGCAAGACCCUGCAUGCCAAGUGGGAGCAGUUAGAAGGUUUCCUUCAAAAGUGCGCUGCUGAUCCUAACUGGAAUAUUGAUGUAGAGAUACGUCAUGUGUACCUAGUGCACUCCAUCCAUAUUACUAGGCUAGGGCUGACCUGAAGUACAUCCUACCUGAAAUGCAUAUAGUAUGUGUAUCAGGAUCUCAACAUUAAGUAGCUUUGCUGUGCAUACCCACUCUUAUCAGUAUGUUAUACUUGCUAAUAUAGACACAAUCUCAGUUUAUUUGGCUGUAAAUUUACAUAGUGAUGCGUAUACAUCACUGUAUCAGAAUGACUGGAGAACAGCAUGGUGAACCUUGGUAUUUGCCAACCAGUAAAUGACUGUGAAAGAUGUUAGAAGAAAAGUUUUUGAAUGGCAGCAUGUGACAGGGUUUCUCCCAGAGACUUCUGAUUUCCUGUACAGAUUUCUGGCUGCAGUUUGCUGAUCUAACAGACAGACCACACAAGUAUUUUAGUACUUGGAAGCCACACAGUGUAAACAGUCUGCAAAUAAUCUUUUGUUAAGGUUUGAAGUAUUUAAAAAGUGGUUAUUUUGAUUUUUUAAUAAACUUUUUAGGCCUUUUUUAUAAUCUUCCAAACAUUUUAUUGAUUUCUAUAGCUAUUACAUUUAUGGGGUCAGUUGUUGGAAAUUGCAGGCAAGUUGCUGAAUAGGGUAAACUUUUUUUUAUAUGGAUCAAAUUACCUGGAGAUAUUUUGUUCUGCCUGUAAAUUUUUUUUUGUCUCUUUUAUUAACUGCCUUCCUUGAUAAGUCCUCUUUCUGGACACACUAAAUUGAAGCACAGUUUGUCCUAGACAAAUGGAAAUUUUCAGCAGCUGCAGUUUUUUAAUAAGCUGAUAGGAGGAAAUGUUAUUUAUAACUCCCUAUAACAGCUCCUCUCUAAUGCACAGUAAUCUGCUGUGACUUUACAGUGAACACAGCAACAUGUGGUCUCCUGCUCUCCUACAGUAACCUGCAGAAUACUUUCCACAUGAAGGAUACUUUAAUCACUGGGUUGCCUGUAAAUUUCCCGGAGGAUGAUAAAAGCAUUUCUUUAUGUUAUUGCUAACUUUGUAAAUUUAACGUGAUGUUUUCCCAUCCCUCUUUCUUAGGAACAUGAAGCAAGUAAAGCUAGAUUUUCUCACAGUCUUCUGUGGAAUAGUAAUUUACUGUACAGCAGGGAAGUAGUAAAGAAGCAGGCAUUCUUAUAAAGCAUUAAAUUCCAAAACUUUGAAAAACUCAAUUAAUGGGAUAGAAGAUGAGUAAAUUUCCAGUUUUCCACAGAAGGUGGCAGCAUUUUGAAGCACUGAUGUCAGCGUGAACUUGCUAGCAAAUGUCACUUUGCUGAAAGAACACAAACUUUACAGAAAUUCACUCUCAGAAGUUGUGGAGCAAUAACACAGCUGAUGCAUGGAUCAUCAGAGAGUAUCCUGUUGGGCUGCAGCUUCGGGAGAUGCAGUGACCCUGUGGUGAUGGUGCAUUGAGCUGAAGCGGCCCAGGGAGAGCAUGGUGUCCUUGCUCAUGAGCACCACGUGCAGGGCUAAAGUCCUCUUCCUGGCAGGUCUGAGUCAUUGGCAUGAGCCAGGUAGCUGUAGGAGUUGUAGGUGAAAGAGGCAGUUCCUCUAUGAAAUUCCUGUGUAGAUGACAUGUGGGACAACAGGGGUUGGAGGGCGCCUUGACUGCCUGGAUUUAAAGAGCUUUAGAGGGGAUCUUGCCAAGAAAGGAGGGGGCCGAUGUUGAAAAUGGAGGGGGGGGAGGAAUUGGAGCAAUUUUUUUUUUUGCUUUGGUGUUUUUCUUUUUGCAGGGAGGCAGAAAAAAAAAUGGGCUGGGACUUGUCCAGUUUGCUCACAUGCUGAAUGUGAGAUUUUUUGAGGGGAUGAGGGGAGCAGGGAUAGAAAGGACUGUAGAAAGCUAUAUCUGGAGGAAAGGCUGGCAGCUGGUGUGCAGAGACUUGGGGCCAGGCCAGACAGUGGAUAUGUGAGUGGUGCAUAGGGGCUCAGACAAUUACAGAAAAAACGGAAGGGGCCCGUUCAUUUGGGAACUGCUAAGCAAGCUGCUCCAUUCUGUUGACUUGAAGGGCUGAAACAGUUGACUACUAGAUCUCAGUUGGAAAUGGCAACCUGCAGCAGGGAAGAGGUAAGGAGAAGCUUCCUAAACCACAUCUGGGGAGGAAUUCUUGAAAAGGGAGCCGUUUUCCAAUCUCUGUAAUGGUCAGUCUAGGCCUCGGAGUGAUCGCGCUCUGCUACAAUCAGCAUGUUGAUGCCUGAAGUGUGACACUCGAUGCCAUAUUGACAGGACCAUGUUGACCUGCCUGGAGUGACCAGUGGUUUGACAUUUUCUUGACACCAGCUCCUGUAGAGUUGUAGACUGUCCUCCAUAGCCCAUUCUGCUAAGUCUGGUAAACUGUGCUGUUAGAUGUCUUGGUUUCUAAAAAGAGCAUUAAUCCUUCUUCUGUUCAGUGUGAAAUAUAUACCAUGGGUUAGUUUCUCUGCAUUCAUAGAACCAUAUUUUUCUAUUUGAAAUUUUCAGGUUUUCUGUUUGCCAAGAGUUGACAUAAUAAACUACAACUUAAAAUCUUGGUCUUUAUGAUCUGGUACUAAGACAGCUAAGGUCACAGAUGGCUCUUGGGUAUCCAAAGGCCUCAUAGAUAAAAAGAACAGUACCUUGCAUUGACUCGCAAGAGCAAAUUGAGAAGAGGUGGAUGUUCUGGAGCACGUAUGUAAUAUGUCCUGUUUUGAGCAGAGGGAUCGGACUAGACAAUCUCUAGAGGUCCCCUCCAACUUCAACUACGGUGUGAUUCUGAACUAGGAAGAAAGUUUUCUUUAAGAGCUGUCUGCAACCUUUGUGACUUGGAAUUUCAUUUUCAUUAUACUCCAUCUUUCCAGUAAUGAGUACAUUGAUAACUAACGAUUUUCUCCCACCUCCAACAUUUCAUAUCCCUGUUGCUGUCUGGAUACUCCAAUCGCAUGUAAAGCCAAAUAAAGACCCUAUGAAUUCAUACUGUUUUGAAUAGAGGGAAAAUUCUGGAUUUUGGCUCACUGGUGAAACUGUGUGCAAGGUACAAAGAUAUCCCAUAGCAAAAAUGUUUAUGGCACUUGUUGCUAGCCUGUGUGUCCCCUGCAAGAACCGAUGUGUCUAUAUUAUAUGUUUCAGAAAAUCUGAUUGGGAAAGCUUGAAGAUAUCCAUAGUAAAAUUUGAUUGUUGCCACUUUGGACACUGUGCUUUGAACAAUGCAUUUUCCCUAAUGAGGUGUAAGGAAGAACACUCUACAUUUGGGGGAAAAACAACAACUUUGUAGACAUUUGCUAGAC